rfam:Edhazardia aedis TSNM 41457 supercont1.2, whole genome shotgun sequence.
UCCUACAUGGUCCAGUGGUUAGGAUAUUAGCCUUUCAAGCUAGGGGUCCGGGUUCGAUUCCCGGUGUGGGAA